UACAACAUAACGUCAAUGCACCAGAUCCCAUUAGAACUUCGUAGUUAAGCACACUUGGGUUAGAGUAGUUCUAGGAUGGGUGACCACCUCGGAAGUCAUAGUGUUUUAC
rnacentral:rRNA from 1 species